GUCCUUUUGAUUAUAAUUUAAGGUCUAACCUGCUCGCUGAGGACUUGAAGGGCCGCAGUAUUUUGACUGUGCGAAGGUAGCAUAAUAAUUAGUUUUUUAAUUGGAAGCUGGAAUGAAUGGUUGAACGAGGAAAUAGCUGUCUCUAUAUUAUUUUAUUAGAAUUUUAUGUUUGAGUAAAAAAGCUUAAAUUUUUUUAAAAGACGAGAAGACCCUAUAGAGUUUUAUAAGAUUUAUUAUUAGUGAUUUUUAGGAUAAUUUUUUAUUAAGAAUGUAUUUUAUUUUAUUGGGGUGAUAGAAAAAUUUAAGUAACUUUUUUUUUAUUUAAUCAUUUAUUUAUGAUUAAUUGAUCCAGUUAUUUUGAUUAUAAGAUUAAAUUACCUUAGGGAUAACAGCGUAAUUUUUUUUGAGAGUUCUAAUCGAAAAAAAAGAUUGCGACCUCGAUGUUGGAUUAAAAUUUAUUUUUGGUGUAGAAGCUAAGAAAUUAAGUCUGUUCGACUUUUAAAAUUUU
rnacentral:rRNA from 1 species